rnacentral:rRNA from 1 species
UACGAAGGGGGCUAGCGUUGUUCGGAUUUACUGGGCGUAAAGCGCACGUAGGCGGAUUGUUAAGUCGGGGGUGGAAUCCUGGAGCUCAACUUCAGAAUUGCCUUCGAUACUGGCUUUCUAGAGGCUGGAAGAGGUUAGUGGAAUUCCCAGUGUAGAGGUGAAAUUCGUAGAUAUUGGGAAGAACACCAGUGGCGAAGGCGGCUAACUGGUCCAGAUCUGACGCUGAGGUGCGAAAGCGUGGGGAGCAAACAG